CUUCGCCUUAACGAGGGAAGUGCCAUUCGGAAACUUGGAAACCUGAGUGCCAGAAGGAGGACAGUGGACUCCCAUGGGUAGGCGGUGAAAUGCGGUAGAUAUAUGGAAGACACCCAGUGGGCGAAGGCGGCUGUUCUGUCUGUUAACUGACGCUGAGGCUCGAAGCAUUGGGUAGCGAACAGGAUUAGAUUACCUGGUAGUCCAUGCCGUAACGAUGAAUGCUAGGUGUUGGAGGGUUUCCGCCUUCAGUGCCGCAGUACGCAUUAAGCAUUCCGCCUGGGGAGUACGACCGCAAGGUUGAAACUCAAAGGAAUUGACGGGGGCCCGCACAAGCGGUGGAGCAUGUGGUUUAAUUCGAAGCAACGCGAAGAACCUUACCAGGUCUUGACAUCUUUUGAUCACCUGAGAGAUCGGGUUUCCCCUUCGGGGGCAAAAUGACAGGUGGUGCAUGGUUGUCGUCAGCUCGUGUCGUGAGAUGUUGGGUUAAGUCCCGCAACGAGCGCAACCCUUAUGACUAGUUGCCAGCAUUUAGUUGGGCACUCUAGUAAGACUGCCGGUGACAAACCGGAGGAAGGUGGGGAUGACGUCAAAUCAUCAUGCCCCUUAUGACCUGGGCUACACACGUGCUACAAUGGAUGGUACAACGAGUUGCGAGACCGCGAGGUCAAGCUAAUCUCUUAAAGCCAUUCUCAGUUCGGACUGUAGGCUGCAACUCGCCUACACGAAGUCGGAAUCGCUAGUAAUCGCGGAUCAGCACGCCGCGGUGAAUACGUUCCCGGGCCUUGUACACACCGCCCG
rnacentral:rRNA from 1 species